rnacentral:tRNA from 1 species
GGCGGCGUAGCUCAGCAGGUUAGAGCACACGGCUCAUAAUCGUGGGGUCGUCGGUUCGAGUCCGACCGCCGCUACCA